rnacentral:rRNA from 1 species
AGAACGAACGCUGGCGGCAUGCCUAACACAUGCAAGUCGAACGAGACCUUCGGGUCUAGUGGCGCACGGGUGCGUAACGCGUGGGAAUCUGCCCUUAGGUACGGAAUAACAGUGAGAAAUUACUGCUAAUACCGUAUGAUGUCUUCGGACCAAAGAUUUAUCGCCUAGGGAUGAGCCCGCGUAGGAUUAGCUAGUUGGUGGGGUAAAGGCCUACCAAGGCUACGAUCCUUAGCUGGUCUGAGAGGAUGAUCAGCCACACUGGGACUGAGACACGGCCCAGACUCCUACGGGAGGCAGCAGUGGGGAAUAUUGGACAAUGGGCGAAAGCCUGAUCCAGCAAUGCCGCGUGAGUGAAGAAGGCCUUCGGGUUGUAAAGCUCUUUUACCCGGGAAGAUAAUGACUGUACCGGAGAAUAAGCCCGGCUAACUCCGCGCCAGCAGCCGC